UUAGGCUGUUCACGAUAAGCUGGUUAUCGGGUUAUGUGGUUAUGUGAUUAAGUGAACAACAACAAAAUGCGUGUUAGAAAGUCGUUGCAAUUUUACUAAAUGGCAGCACAAAAAAUAAAUAAAACUAAGCGAAUGGCAUUUCCAUUUAGAUUUUCUUAUUGGAAAAUCUGCUAUUAACAGCUGUUUUUUGUUUACAAUCAGCAAAUUAAAAUCAGAAUAAAAAGCAUCCAAAAGCAUCAACAUCAA